GGACCUUGAUUGAGUCCUGUACCGUGCCUCAGUUUCCCCACUUAUAAAAAGAGGUUACUAAAAAGGAUGCUUCACUCAAGGGUGUGAAGACCCAGUGAAUGAAGUGUUAAUAAGAGCUCCACGUAUAGCGAUGCUGCUGUUCAGCUGCACCAGGGUGGACUCCCUUGACUUGCUGGGAGUUACAAUGAGGAAGGAAGGACCGUUAAACCUGUAGGUCUUUCCAGAGAAAGUGCGUUUCCUAAAACCAAAUCCUGCCCUUGCUCCAAAACUGUCAGUGGUGGUUUCCCAUGACCACGCCACAGUCCCAGGGUCUCCCCUGGCCUUCAAGGCUGGCACAGUCUGACCCUGCCAACGUCCCUAGUGCCACCAUCUGUCAGCCCCUCCUUGCUCCUGCUCCUGGUCUGCACAUGCUGUUCUCUUUGCCAAGAAUGCCAUUUCCCCAGCCCCCUGGUCCCGAUGGGGAACACCUCCUCAUCCUUCAAAGCCAAGCUGGAAGGGAACAUCUUUGGAGAUGCCGCUUGACCUCCCAGGCAGAAGGGGUCAUUCUCCCUGGAGAUGUGGUCACGUCAUUAACCACACUGGGUUAGAAUCAUCAGAAGCUGUUCCUGCCUCUUCCGUCAAGCAAGGGGCUCUGGAGGCCAGAAAAUGCCUAUGAAUCAUGCCCACACCCCCAGAGCCCAGCAUGGGGCGGGCUCAGGUUAGGUCAAUCGUGUUUGAAGACUGAAUAAAUGAAUGUCUUCAUUUGCUACCCUCAGAA
rnacentral:lncRNA from 10 species